UACGUCACUUUACGUCACUGUAUGGCGUCACCGAUCGCGUCACUACAAACGGGGAGGUCCCAGUCGUGAUCGCCCGGGCGCCUGUAGGGGAGACGUCAGGGUCUCCAGACUGCUGUCCCGUCUGGAGCGGAUCCCAUCGGCUACUUCUGCGAGUGCAGGAAAGAUUUUCCAGGAACCGGGACCUUUGGGGCUGAGUGCAGGUUAAUGUGAAAGAAUGCCUAUUGACACUCGUUAACUCCGCAGCAACGUGCGAUGGACCCGGCCUUGAAUUCCUCCGACUCUUGUUUCUUCAUUUUAUAGGAUUUAGUUCCCAGGGAUUAAACCUGCUCCCCCUGCACUGGGAGCUUGAAGUCUUAACCACUGGACCACCCAGGGAAGUCCUGCAGGUUCUUUCAGAGAUGACUGCAGUGUGACUGUGACUUAAUGGAACCUUCACAUCCAGAGGGAAAUAAACAUCCAAUCAACAGUCGAAUUACACAGAUUUGUGAGUGAGGAGACAAGUUGAGUUAAAAUAGAUUUAGAGGACGUUAAUUUAUAAUUUGGUAAUUUAAGUCCGGGGUGUGGAUGAGAUCAAUCAAAACACAGAAGAAACGAUAAAGAGGACCAAGGACAGAUCCCCGGGAAGCACUAAGGCUGUGGCAGAUGAACGGAAGCGCACAAAGUCUGAGGAAGAAUGGCCAGAGAGAGAAAAGAACUAGCUUAUGACCAGAAACUAUGGAUAUGGAUAUGAUACAGUUACUCAAGAAACUCACAGUUUGGAAGGAAGAUAAACAUAAAAGUGAUGUGUGUUACAUAACUGGCUGUUUCCUCAUUUCACUCUGACUGCCAAGAAGCUCUGAGAAAUAUGUGGCUCAGCAUUAGUAACUGGAAGGACUCUUGGCUUCCAUGUCUACAUUCUGUUGGUUUGAAAUUCUUCAAAAUUAAAAGCUGGGGGAAAUCUAAAUUCUUCUGCAUUUUCUAGAUUAUUGAUAUUAUACAUUUGUUUUAUAAUUAGAAAAAGUAAACCUUGUUUUUAAAAGAAAGGUUGCAUCUUGGCAUGCUUUCUCAGACUUUGAAUCUGUGGACAAGAAGUAGUUUCAGAUUAACUUCCAUGAAUUCAAUGUAGAAUCCUGCUGCUGCUGCUGCUGCUAAGUCGCUUCAGUCGUGUCCGACUCUGUGGGACCCCAUAGACGGCAGCCCACCAGGCUCCCCCGUCCC